GCUUCAAAUAAGACAAUAAUACUACAAAAGUGUUAUUCUUUCAAUUUUUUAUGAAUGACCUUUGGCCCCAAUUUAAAAAAAAAUGCACCAUAUUUCACUUUUACGACCGGGAAAAAUGGAAUCUACACAUGUUUUCCUUUCGAAUGAUAUAUAAUAUAGCUGUGUGUUAGAUAGGUGCAUUAAAAAUAUUUUUAAGGUCUGAAUGUCACUCGCCUAUUAUACAUGAUUAUUA
rnacentral:lncRNA from 1 species